rnacentral:rRNA from 1 species
UACGGAGGGUGCAAGCGUUAAUCGGAAUUACUGGGCGUAAAGCGUGCGCAGGCGGUUUUGUAAGUCUGACGUGAAAUCCCCGGGCUCAACCUGGGAAUUGCGUUGGAGACUGCAAGGCUAGAAUCUGGCAGAGGGGGGUAGAAUUCCACGUGUAGCAGUGAAAUGCGUAGAGAUGUGGGGGAACACCGAUGGCGAAGGCAGCCCCCUGGGUCAAGAUUGACGCUCAUGCACGAAAGCGUGGGGAGCAAACAGG